GACGAACGCUGGCGGCGUGCUUAACACAUGCAAGUCGAACGAUGAAGCCGGAGCUUGCUCUGGUGAAUUAGUGCGAACGGGUGAGUAACACGUGAGUAACCUGCCCUUGACUCUGGGAUAACUGCGGGAAACUGUAGCUAAUACCGGAUACGACCCUCGGAGGCAUCUCCUGGGGGUGGAAAGAAUUUCGGUCAAGGAUGGACUCGCGGCCUAUCAGCUAGUUGGUGAGGUAAAGGCUCACCAAGGCGACGACGGGUAGCCGGCCUGAGAGGGUGACCGGCCACACUGGGACUGAGACACGGCCCAGACUCCUACGGGAGGCAGCAGUGGGGAAUAUUGCACAAUGGGCGCAAGCCUGAUGCAGCAACGCCGCGUGAGGGAUGACAGCCUUCGGGUUGUAAACCUCUUUUAGCAGGGAAGAAGCGAAAGUGACGGUACCUGCAGAAAAAGCACCGGCUAACUACGUGCCAGCCGCCGCAGUAA
rnacentral:rRNA from 1 species